rnacentral:rRNA from 1 species
UACGGAGGGUGCGAGCGUUGUCCGGAAUCACUGGGCGUAAAGGGCGCGUAGGUGGCGCGACAAGUCAACGGUGAAAGCUCGGCGCUCAACGCCGAGUCGGCCGUCGAUACUGUUGGGCUUGAGCACUGUAGAGGCUAAUGGAAUUCCGGGUGUAGCGGUGGAAUGCGUAGAGAUCCGGAAGAACACCGGUGGCGAAGGCGGGUCUCUGGGCCGAUACUGACGCUGAGGAGCGAAAGCGUGGGGAGCGAACAGG